CCUACGGGUGGCUGCAGUGAGGAAUAUUGGUCAAUGGGCGAGAGCCUGAACCAGCCAAGUCGCGUGAGGGAAGACGGUCCUAUGGAUUGUAAACCUCUUUUGUCGGGGAGCAAAAAGGCCUCGUGAGGCCACAAGUGAGAGUACCCGAAGAAAAAGCAUCGGCUAACUCCGUGCCAGCAGCCGCGGUAAUACGGAGGAUGCGAGCGUUAUCCGGAUUUUUUGGGUUUAAAGGGAGCGUAGGUGGAUUGUUAAGUCAGUUGUGAAAGUUUGCGGCUCAACCGUAAAAUUGCAGUUGAAACUGGCAGUCUUGAGUACAGUAGAGGUGGGCGGAAUUCGUGGUGUAGCGGUGAAAUGCUUAGAUAUCACGAAGAACUCCGAUUGCGAAGGCAGCUCACUGGACUGCAACUGACACUGAGGCUCGAAAGUGUGGGUAUCAAACAGGAUUAGAUACCCUGGUAGUC
rnacentral:rRNA from 1 species